AGGGUUCGAUUCUGGCUCAGGAUGAACGCUGACAGAAUGCUUAACACAUGCAAGUCUACUUGAUCCUUCGGGUGAAGGUGGCGGACGGGUGAGUAACGCGUAAAGAACUUGCCUUACAGACUGGGACAACAUUUUGGAAACGAAUGCUAAUACCGGAUAUUAUGAUUGGGUCGCAUGAGUCUGGUUAUGAAAGCUAUAUGCGCUGUGAGAGAGCUUUGCGUCCCAUUAGUUAGUUGGUGAGGUAACGGCUCACCAAGACGAUGAUGGGUAGCCGGCCUGAGAGGGUGAACGGCCACAAGGGGACUGAGACACGGCCCUUACUCCUACGGGAGGCAGCAGUGGGGAAUAUUGGACAAUGGACCAAAAAGUCUGAUCCAGGACCAAUUCUGUGUGCACGAUGAAGUUUUUCGGAAUGUAAAGUGCUUUCAGUUGGGAAGAAGUCAGUGACGGUACCAACAGAAGAAGCGACGGCUAAAUACGUGCCAGCCGCCGC
rnacentral:rRNA from 1 species